rnacentral:lncRNA from 1 species
AUGGUUGGACCAGAGACUGGACACAGGCAGAAUAGUUGGACCAGAGAUUGGACACAGGCAGAAUGGUUGGACCAAGGACUGGACACAGGCAGAAUAGUUGGACCAGAGACUGGACACAGGAUGGUUAGACCAGAAACUGGACACAGGAUUGUUGGACCAGAGACUGGACAAAGGCAGGAUGGUUGGAUCAGGGACUGGACACAGGCAAGAUGGUUUAACCAGGGACUGGACACAGGCAGGAUGGUUGGAUCAGUUACUGGACACAGGAUGGUUGGACCAGAGACUGGACACAGGAGGGUUGGACCAGAGACUAGAAACAGGCAGAAUGGUUGGACCAGAGAUUGGACACAGGCAGGAUGGUUGGACCAAGGACUGGACACAGGCAGAAUAGUUGGACCAGAGACUGGACACAGGAUGGUUAGACCAGAAACUGGACACAGGAUUGUUGGACCAGAGACUGGACAAAGGCAGGAUGGUUGGAUCAGGGACUGGACACAGGCAAGAUGGUUUAACCAGGGACUGGACACAGGCAGGAUGGUUGGAUCAGUUACUGGACACAGGAUGGUUGGACCAGAGACUGGACACAGGAGGGUUGGACCAGAGACUAGAAACAGGCAGAAUGGUUGGACCAGAGAUUGGACACAGGCAGGAUGGUUUAACCAGGGACUAGACACAGGCAGGAUGGUUGGAUCAGGUACUGGACACAGAAUGGUUGGACCAGAGAUUGGACACAGGCAGAAUAGUUGGACCAGAGGACCAGAGACUGGUCAAAAAGGUCCACCAGCCUCUUCUGGACCUCCUUCACCAUUGUGUCCGUUGGACCAGAGAUUGGACACAGGCAGGAUGGUUGGACCAGAGACUGGACACACGAUGGUUGGAUCGGAGACUGGACACAUACAGGAUGGUUGGAUCCACAGCUAUGUUGGGGGACCUCAUCUGUAUAAUCUGUUAUUAACAGAAUUAUUAUUAAGGUCCCACAUGCUCAGACAAAGGAAAUACUGCGGCCUGCAUGUAAAGUCCUCAUCCUGA